rnacentral:tRNA from 1 species
AAGACGCUAGUAAAACGGUACAUUACGCCGCCUUGUCAAGGCAGAAUUGUGGGUUAAAGUCCCGCGUGUCUUA